AGCAGUCGCCGCGGGAAUACGAAGGUCCCAAGCGUUGCUCGGAAUCACUGGGCGUAAAGGGAGCGUAGGCGGCGUGGUAAGUCAGAUGUGAAAUCCCGGGGCUCAACCCCGGAACUGCAUCCGAUACUGCCAUGCUUGAGGGUUGGAGAGGUAGCUGGAAUUCUUGGUGUAGCAGUGAAAUGCGUGGAUAUCAAGAGGAACACUCGUGGCGAAGGCGAGCUACUGGACAACAUCUGACGCUGAGGCUCGAAGGCCAGGGUAGCGAAAGGGAUUAGAUACCCCCGUAGUCCCUGUCUCUUAUAC
rnacentral:rRNA from 1 species